rnacentral:rRNA from 1 species
GAUGAACGCUGGCGGCGUGCCUAAUACAUGCAAGUCGAGCGAAUGGAUUAAGAGCUUGCUCUUAUGAAGUUAGCGGCGGACGGGUGAGUAACACGUGGGUAACCUGCCCAUAAGACUGGGAUAACUCCGGGAAACCGGGGCUAAUGCCGGAUAACAUUUUGAACCGCAUGGUUCGAAAUUGAAAGGCGGCUUCGGCUGUCACUUAUGGAUGGACCCGCGUCGCAUUAGCUAGUUGGUGAGGUAACGGCUCACCAAGGCAACGAUGCGUAGCCGGCCUGAGAGGGUGAUCGGCCACACUGGGACUGAGACACGGCCCAGACUCCUACGGGAGGCAGCAGUAGGGAAUCUUCCGCAAUGGACGAAAGUCUGACGGAGCAACGCCGCGUGAGUGAUGAAGGCUUUCGGGUCGUAAAACUCUGUUGUUAGGGAAGAACAAGUGCUAGUUGAAUAAGCUGGCACCUUGACGGUACCUAACCAGAAAGCCACGGCUAACUACGUGCCAGCAGCCGCGGUAA